rnacentral:rRNA from 1 species
GGUUAAGCGACUAAGCGUACACGGUGGAUGCCCUGGCAGUCAGAGGCGAUGAAGGACGUGCUAAUCUGCGAUAAGCGUCGGUAAGGUGAUAUGAACCGUUAUAACCGGCGAUUUCCGAAUGGGGAAACCCAGUGUGAUUCGUCACACUAUCAUUAACUGAAUCCAUAGGUUAAUGAGGCGAACCGGGGGAACUGAAACAUCUAAGUACCCCGAGGAAAAGAAAUCAACCGAGAUUCCCCCAGUAGCGGCGAGCGAACGGGGAGGAGCCCAGAGCCUGAAUCAGUGUGUGUGUUAGUGGAAGCGUCUGGAAAGGCGCGCGAUACAGGGUGACAGCCCCGUACACAAAAAUGCACAUGCUGUGAGCUCGAUGAGUAGGGCGGGACACGUGGUAUCCUGUCUGAAUAUGGGGGGACCAUCCUCCAAGGCUAAAUACUCCUGACUGACCGAUAGUGAACCAGUACCGUGAGGGAAAGGCGAAAAGAACCCCGGCGAGGGGAGUGAAAAAGAACCUGAAACCGUGUACGUACAAGCAGUGGGAGCCUCUUUAUGGGGUGACUGCGUACCUUUUGUAUAAUGGGUCAGCGACUUAUAUUCUGUAGCAAGGUUAACCGAAUAGGGGAGCCGAAGGGAAACCGAGUCUUAACUGGGCGUUAAGUUGCAGGGUAUAGACCCGAAACCCGGUGAUCUAGCCAUGGGCAGGUUGAAGGUUGGGUAACACUAACUGGAGGACCGAACCGACUAAUGUUGAAAAAUUAGCGGAUGACUUGUGGCUGGGGGUGAAAGGCCAAUCAAACCGGGAGAUAGCUGGUUCUCCCCGAAAGCUAUUUAGGUAGCGCCUCGUGAAUUCAUCUCCGGGGGUAGAGCACUGUUUCGGCAAGGGGGUCAUCCCGACUUACCAACCCGAUGCAAACUGCGAAUACCGGAGAAUGUUAUCACGGGAGACACACGGCGGGUGCUAACGUCCGUCGUGAAGAGGGAAACAACCCAGACCGCCAGCUAAGGUCCCAAAGUCAUGGUUAAGUGGGAAACGAUGUGGGAAGGCCCAGACAGCCAGGAUGUUGGCUUAGAAGCAGCCAUCAUUUAAAGAAAGCGUAAUAGCUCACUGGUCGAGUCGGCCUGCGCGGAAGAUGUAACGGGGCUAAACCAUGCACCGAAGCUGCGGCAGCGACGCUUAUGCGUUGUUGGGUAGGGGAGCGUUCUGUAAGCCUGUGAAGGUGUACUGUGAGGUAUGCUGGAGGUAUCAGAAGUGCGAAUGCUGACAUAAGUAACGAUAAAGCGGGUGAAAAGCCCGCUCGCCGGAAGACCAAGGGUUCCUGUCCAACGUUAAUCGGGGCAGGGUGAGUCGACCCCUAAGGCGAGGCCGAAAGGCGUAGUCGAUGGGAAACAGGUUAAUAUUCCUGUACUUGGUGUUACUGCGAAGGGGGGACGGAGAAGGCUAUGUUGGCCGGGCGACGGUUGUCCCGGUUUAAGCGUGUAGGCUGGUUUUCCAGGCAAAUCCGGAAAACUAAGGCUGAGGCGUGAUGACGAGGCACUACGGUGCUGAAGCAACAAAUGCCCUGCUUCCAGGAAAAGCCUCUAAGCAUCAGGUAACAUCAAAUCGUACCCCAAACCGACACAGGUGGUCAGGUAGAGAAUACCAAGGCGCUUGAGAGAACUCGGGUGAAGGAACUAGGCAAAAUGGUGCCGUAACUUCGGGAGAAGGCACGCUGAUAUGUAGGUGAAGUCCCUCGCGGAUGGAGCUGAAAUCAGUCGAAGAUACCAGCUGGCUGCAACUGUUUAUUAAAAACACAGCACUGUGCAAACACGAAAGUGGACGUAUACGGUGUGACGCCUGCCCGGUGCCGGAAGGUUAAUUGAUGGGGUCAGCGCAAGCGAAGCUCUUGAUCGAAGCCCCGGUAAACGGCGGCCGUAACUAUAACGGUCCUAAGGUAGCGAAAUUCCUUGUCGGGUAAGUUCCGACCUGCACGAAUGGCGUAAUGAUGGCCAGGCUGUCUCCACCCGAGACUCAGUGAAAUUGAACUCGCUGUGAAGAUGCAGUGUACCCGCGGCAAGACGGAAAGACCCCGUGAACCUUUACUAUAGCUUGACACUGAACAUUGAGCCUUGAUGUGUAGGAUAGGUGGGAGGCUUUGAAGUGUGGACGCCAGUCUGCAUGGAGCCGACCUUGAAAUACCACCCUUUAAUGUUUGAUGUUCUAACGUUGGCCCCUGAUCGGGGUUGCGGACAGUGUCUGGUGGGUAGUUUGACUGGGGCGGUCUCCUCCUAAAGAGUAACGGAGGAGCACGAAGGUUGGCUAAUCCUGGUCGGACAUCAGGAGGUUAGUGCAAUGGCAUAAGCCAGCUUGACUGCGAGCGUGACGGCGCGAGCAGGUGCGAAAGCAGGUCAUAGUGAUCCGGUGGUUCUGAAUGGAAGGGCCAUCGCUCAACGGAUAAAAGGUACUCCGGGGAUAACAGGCUGAUACCGCCCAAGAGUUCAUAUCGACGGCGGUGUUUGGCACCUCGAUGUCGGCUCAUCACAUCCUGGGGCUGAAGUAGGUCCCAAGGGUAUGGCUGUUCGCCAUUUAAAGUGGUACGCGAGCUGGGUUUAGAACGUCGUGAGACAGUUCGGUCCCUAUCUGCCGUGGGCGCUGGAGAACUGAGGGGGGCUGCUCCUAGUACGAGAGGACCGGAGUGGACGCAUCACUGGUGUUCGGGUUGUCAUGCCAAUGGCACUGCCCGGUAGCUAAAUGCGGAAGAGAUAAGUGCUGAAAGCAUCUAAGCACGAAACUUGCCCCGAGAUGAGUUCUCCCUGACUCCCUGAGAGUCCUGAAGGAACGUUGAAGACGACGACGUUGAUAGGCCGGGUGUGUAAGCGCAGCGAUGCGUUGAGCUAACCGGUACUAAUGAACCGUGAGGCUUAACCUU